CCAAUAGCGUAUAUUAAAGUUGUUGCAGUUAAAAAGCUCGUAGUUGAAUUUCGGGGUUAGUAGAUUGGUCAUGCCUCUGGUAUGCACUGGUCUCACUGAUUCCUCCUUCCUGAUGAGCCGUAAUGCCAUUAAUUUGGUGUUGCGGGGAAUUUGGACUGUUACUUUGAAAAAAUUAGAGUGUUUAAAGCAAGCUAACGCUUGAAUACAUUAGCAUGGAAUAAUGAAAUAGGACGUUCGAUCCUAUUUUGUUGGUUUCUAGGAUUGACGUAAUGAUUAAUAGGGAUAGUUUGGGGCAUUAGUAUUCAAUUGUCAGAGGUGAAAUUCUUGGAUUUAUUGAAGACUAACUACUGCGAAAGCAUUUGCCAAGGAUGUUUUCAUUAAUCAAGAACGAAAGUUAGGGGAUCGAAGACGAUCAGAUACCGUCGUAGUCUUAACCAUAAACUAUGCCGACUAGGGAUCGGAUGAUGUUAAUUUUUUAAUGACUCAUUCGGCGCCUUACG
rnacentral:misc_RNA from 1 species